rnacentral:rRNA from 1 species
CCUACGGGAGGCAGCAGUGAGGAAUAUUGGUCAAUGGGCGCGAGCCUGAACCAGCCAAGUCGCGUGAGGGAAGACGGUCCUAUGGAUUGUAAACCUCUUUUGUCGGGGAGCAAAAGACGCCACGCGUGGCGUUCCGAGAGUACCCGAAGAAAAAGCAUCGGCUAACUCCGUGCCAGCAGCCGCGGUAAUACGGAGGAUGCGAGCGUUAUCCGGAUUGAUUGGGGUUAAAGGGUGCGCAGGCGGACGAUCAAGUCAGCGGUAAAAUUGAGAGGCUCAACCUCUUCGAGCCGUUGAAACUGGUUUUCUUGAGUGAGUGAGAAGUAUGCGGAAUGCGUGGUGUAGCGGUGAAAUGCAUAGAUAUCACGCAGAACUCCGAUUGCGAGGGCAGCAUACCGGCGCUCAACUGACGCUCAUGCACGAAAGUGUGGGUAUCGAACAGGAUUAGAUACCCGAGUAGUC